ensembl:lncRNA
GGUAAAUUUAGCAAGAAAUUAAAAUGCAUCGAUCUUUAAUUUAUGCUUAAAUAUUUUUUUAGGCUACGCUGGGUGCUGAAAUGGUCUGAUGUUCAUGUUCAUCUGCUGGUAAACAGAUGCAAAGUCAUCAACCCGCUUCAUUACAUCUUCUGCUCUGGAAGAAUAUGUCUGGACGAUAUGUCAAAUAUUUCUGGCUCUUUAUUCUUCUGGUAGUGCCCUUUCAUGCAGAGGAGAAAGGAUAAUACAGCAGCUUGUGUUGAGCUCUGGUGCUUUAGAUAAGUGCUGGUGUGUAGGUGUCAAUGCGGGCUGGGCUCAGGCUCACGCAUUUAAAACAAAACCUAACAGAAGUGAUUUGUCAUGCAGUGAAAUUCUAAAGCCAAUUCUGAUUCUCUGAGGCUUGACGCUUGACGUCAUUGAUGCUUUCAGAGCAAUAAGUGUGUUUUUAAAAUCUCCCUGUUGAACUUUAAGCAUGCACAGCAUUACGAGGAAAAAAUAUGUGAAAAUAAAAGUUACCUUUUUGUUAAGUUGUUUCUUAAGACUUGAAUCUUUGUCCCAAAGUUACUCUGUGUCAAGCAUGUAUUUUCCUUGUUUUUGUUUUGUUUUUUUUGGUCAGUACAUUGUAACUAAGUUGUAACUAAAACAAAGAUUAUGAAAGUAUGUUUGAAAAAAAACAAACAAAAAAACAUACUGUUUCAGUGUAUUUACUUGGAAAUCUAAUGUUUAAUUCAAUGUAUUAUUUCCAAUUUCUUUGUAAUUAUUUGUGAAAUUUAUUAGCAAUUUCUGAGUCAAAACUGUUGCUGAGUAAAUCCCACACCAAACUGAUUUAAGUGGAAGUGACAAUCUUAAAAAUUUCAACAUUGUUACCAUGUAACGAAAUCAUUGUAACAAUAAUGGGUAUCACUUUAUUUUUGAGGUGUUAUUGUUAGACAUAACAAUUAAUUAUGCAUAAUUACAUGCACGUAACCCUAAUCCUAACCCUAACAAUAUAAGUACAUGUAGUUAAUUAACAUUACUCAGUACUUAAAUGUUUAAUUACUCUGUAACAAGGACACCUUAAAAUAAAGUGUAAGCCAAUAAUGUUUUAUUACUGUAACAGAAUCAUUCAUGGAUUUAGCACAGAUAUUAAUGCAAAUGCAGUGGUUCUCCAGCAAAUUAUACAAUUCAGUCUCUUCUUGAUA